rnacentral:rRNA from 1 species
GACGAACGCUGGCGGCGUGCCUAAUACAUGCAAGUUGAGCGAUGAAGAUUGGUGCUUGCACCAAUUUGAAGAGCAGCGAACGGGUGAGUAACGCGUGGGGAAUCUGCCUUUGAGCGGGGGACAACAUUUGGAAACGAAUGCUAAUACCGCAUAACAACUUUAAACAUAAGUUUUAAGUUUGAAAGAUGCAAUUGCAUCGCUCAAAGAUGAUCCCGCGUUGCAUUAGCUAGUUGGUGAGGUAAAGGCUCACCAAGGCGAUGAUACAUAGCCGACCUGAGAGGGUGAUCGGCCACAUUGGGACUGAGACACGGCCCAAACUCCUACGGGAGGCAGCAGUAGGGAAUCUUCGGCAAUGGACGAAAGUCUGACCGAGCAACGCCGCGUGAGUGAAGAAGGUUUUCGGAUCGUAAAACUCUGUUGGUAGAGAAGAACGUUGGUGAGAGUGGAAAGCUCAUCAAGUGACGGUAACUACCCAGAAAGGGACGGCUAACUACGUG